rnacentral:rRNA from 1 species
UACGUAGGUGACAAGCGUUGUCCGGAUUUACUGGGCGUAAAGAGCGCGCAGGCGGUCGAUCAAGUCGAGUGUGAAAGCCCCCGGCUCAACUGGGGAGGGUCAUUCGAUACUGAUCGACUCGAAGGCAGGAGAGGGUAGUGGAAUUCCCGAUGUAGUGGUGAAAUGCGUAGAUAUCGGGAGGAACACCAGUGGCGAAGGCGACUACCUGGCCUGUUCUUGACGCUGAGGCGCGAAAGCUAGGGAGCAAACGGG